GACGAACGCUGGCGGCGUGCUUAACACAUGCAAGUCGAACGGUAAGGCCCUUCGGGGUACACGAGUGGCGAACGGGUGAGUAACACGUGGGUGAUCUGCCCUGCACUUCGGGAUAAGCCUGGGAAACUGGGUCUAAUACCGGAAAGGACUCCUGGCUUCAUGGUUGGGGGUGGAAAGCUUUUGCGGUGUGGGAUGGGCCCGCGGCCUAUCAGUUUGUUGGUGGGGUAAUGGCCUACCAAGGCGACGUAGGGUAGCCGGCCUGAGAGGGUGACGGGACAGAAUAGGACUGGGAUACGGGCCGGACUCCGACGGGAGGCAGCAGUGGGGAAUAUUGCACACUGGGCGCAAGACUGAUGCAGCGACGCCGCGUGAGGGAUGACGGCCUUCGGGUUGUAAACCUCUUUCAGCUAUGACGAAGCACAAGUGACGGUAGUAGCAGAAGAAGGACCGGCCAACUACGUGCCAGCCGCCGCCGUAA
rnacentral:rRNA from 1 species